CAUUUGGGGGUUGAUUAUUGUUACAAUGUCAGUUGGUGCGUUUGAGUACCUACCUGUGUGUGUUUUGGGCUUUCGUGCCCUUGUGGAUUGCGCAGAUGAUUACGGGUCUCGUCCCAUGUGUUAAUCAUUGUGCGCAGAUUUAUUUAUUCAAGAAUAAUCGACCAUUAAGGGAGACAGCGGGAAUGUCCCGUCCGACAAUACUGCGACUGGUCCGUCUGGCGUUGCUGCAACUUCGGCAGCUACAACUGGCCCGUCCGACGAUGCUGCAACUAGUUUGUCCGGCGCCACUGCUACUGGUCCGUCCGAUGCCGCCGCAACUUUGGCAGCAGCAACUGGCCCGUCCGACGCAACUUCAGCAGCUGCAUCGGGUCCUGAUCGACCUGCACUGCAUUCCUGUGAUUGUCCUCGAAGCCGGUGUCGUUGCUCUGCUGUCACGGAUCCCCCCCGUGCCUUUACACGGCACGCAGUAAUUUGUGCUUAAUAAUAAAAACUAUUACGCAU